rnacentral:rRNA from 1 species
AGUGAACGCUGGCGGUAGGCCUAACACAUGCAAGUCGAACGGCAGCACAGUAAGAGCUUGCUCUUACGGGUGGCGAGUGGCGGACGGGUGAGGAAUACAUCGGGAUCUACUUUUUCGUGGGGGAUAACGUAGGUAAACUUACGCUAAUACCGCAUACGACCUACGGGUGAAAGCAGGGGAUCUUCGGACCUUGCGCGAUUGAAUGAGCCGAUGUCGGAUUAGCUAGUUGGCGGGGUAAGGGCCCACCAAGGCGCCGAUCCGUAGCUGGUCUGAGAGGAUGGCAGGCGCAUGUGGACGUGAACACCGGCCAGGAGCCUGAGGGAGGGCACAGUGGGGAAAGUUGGGCAACGGGGGGAAAGCUUGUUCAAGCAAACCAGGUGGGGUGAAGAAGCCCUGCGGGUGGGAAGCCCUUUUGGUGGGGAAAAAAAGCAGGAGGUUAAAACCCCGCUUGUCUGACGGUAACCAAAGAAUAAGCACCGGCUAACUUCGUG